UGAUAGAGGCGCGGUAUCCAAUAGUAGUCACCGCAGGAGCUUGUGCCCAGAGCUCCGAGCGCUCGGAAAAGCGCGGGGCGAAAGGGGAUGCCGCCGAAGAGCGCCGUUGGUUUCCGUCGCGGCGUAUCUGGGGUGUAGGACAAUAUCCUACGCACUGCCGCUCGAAAAGUGGAGAGCUAUCAG
rnacentral:ncRNA from 1 species